CUCUGCAGAAGAGGAGCACUACCCAGGUAUCUAUGUUGUGGAACCGCAAUUCCUACACAGCACAGUAGAGGGGGAGUAGUGCCGAGGUUAUAUCAAGUUGCUGGCUUGAUAUGGUCGGUUGCUAGGGCUGAAUCCCUACAACUGUCAUCAGACGAUCUGAUGAUGAGCUUCUGAGGUC
rfam:Vibrio caribbeanicus ATCC BAA-2122 VIBC2010_17, whole genome shotgun sequence.